AGGACGAACGCUGGCGGCGUGCUUAACACAUGCAAGUCGAACGGUGAAGCCCUUCGGGGUGGAUCAGUGGCGAACGGGUGAGUAACACGUGGGUAAUCUGCCCUGCAUUCUGGGACAAGCCUUGGAAACGAGGUCUAAUACCGGAUACGACGCAUCUCCGCAUGGGGUGUGCGUGGAAAGCUCCGGCGAUGCAGGAUGAACCCGCGGCCUAUCAGCUUGUUGGUGGGGUGAUGGCCUACCAAGGCGACGACGGGUAGCCGGCCUGAGAGGGCGACCGGCCACACUGGGACUGAGACACGGCCCAGACUCCUACGGGAGGCAGCAGUGGGGAAUAUUGCACAAUGGGCGAAAGCCUGAUGCAGCGACGCCGCGUGAGGGAUGACGGCCUUCGGGUUGUAACCUCUUUCAGCAGGGAAGAAGCGCAAGUGACGGUACCUGCAGAAGAAGCACCGGCUAACUACGCGCCAGCAGCCGCGGU
rnacentral:rRNA from 1 species